rnacentral:rRNA from 1 species
UACGUAGGGUGCAGGCGUUAAUCGGAAUUACUGGGCGUAAAGCGUGCGUAGGCGGUUUGUUAAGACAGGUGUGAAAUCCCCGGGCUUAACCUGGGAACUGCGCUUGUUACUGGCAGACUGGAGUGUGGCAGAGGGGGUAGAAUUCCACGUGUAGCAGUGAAAUGCGUAGAGAUGUGGAGGAACACCGAUGGCGAAGGCAGCCCCCUGGGUCAAGAUUGACGCUCAU